rnacentral:rRNA from 1 species
GACGAACGCUGGCGGCGUUCUUAACACAUGCAAGUCGAACGGAAAGGCCCUGCUUUUGUGGGGUGCUCGAGUGGCGAACGGGUGAGUAACACGUGAGUAACCUGCCCUUGACUUUGGGAUAACUUCAGGAAACUGUGGCUAAUACCGGAUAGGAGCUCCUGCUUCAUGGUGGGGGUUGGAAAGUUUCGGCGGUUGGGGAUGGACUCGCGGCUUAUCAGCUUGUUGGUGGGGUAGUGGCUUACCAAGGCUUUGACGGGUAGCCGGCCUGAGAGGGUGACCGGCCACAUUGGGACUGAGAUACGGCCAAGACUCCUACGGGAGGCAGCAGUGGGGAAAAUUGCACAAUGGGCGGAAGCCUGAUGCAGCAACGCCGCGUGCGGGAUGACGGCCUUCGGGUUGUAAACCGCUUUCGCAUGUGACGAAGCGUGAGUGACGGUAAUGGGUAAAGAAGCACAGGCUAAAUACGUG